CAGUAGCCGCGGUAAUACGAAGGGUGCAAGCGUUAAUCGGAAUUACUGGGCGUAAAGCGCGCGUAGGUGGUUCAGUAAGUUGGAAGUGAAAUCCCCGGGCUCAACCUGGGAACUGCUUUUAAAACUGCUGAGCUAGAGUACGGUAGAGGGUGGUGGAAUUUCCUGUGUAGCGGUGAAAUGCGUAGAUAUAGGAAGGAACACCAGUGGCGAAGGCGACCACCUGGACUGAUACUGACACUGAGGUGCGAAAGCGUGGGGAGCAAACAGGAUUAGAUACCCCUGUAGUCCCUGUCUCUUAUAC
rnacentral:rRNA from 1 species